GACACUUGUAGAUCUGGAAUGUGGAAGUGCCCCAGAAUGAUCAUGAUUUAACGUUUGAGAUAAACUUUUGAUGAAAUUUCAGAUCAAUUCCUACGUCCUUUGGAAGAUACGUUUUAUCAUGACUUUAUAAUUCAGAAGAGAAACUUUAAUUUCUGUAGAAAAUUAUAAAAGAUGGUGAGACUAAGUUUCUCUCUAUAUAUAAAAUGAGAGGAUUGGAAGAUUGAGAUGAAGUCAUCUCCUAAGGGACCUACAUUUAAAAGCAAUCAGCUUCAUGGACCUGAAAGGACCUUCAAGGGCUUGACUGGCAAAACAUGUCUUGGAAAGAGGAUGAAUUCACCCAAGACCAAGAGAGGCUGAGGAAAGGAGGAAUCUGGUUGAUGGCAGGGAGUUAAGAAUCCAAGAGACGGGAACUGGAGCCAGAGUAGACCAGAAGCCAGAGAUUCAUUGCCCUCCAUCCUCAACUACAUGCUGAAAUACUAGAGGGACUCUUGUUUCUCACUCUCCAAGGGCUGUGAGUUCAAGCUAAUUGUAUUUAACUUCACAAGAAUUAGUCUUUUUUUCCAUCUUAGCAACUCCUUGCUUUUUUCCUUCAUUAGAUUAUCACUUGCAUUGCUUCGCGUUUUUCUUCUUUGGCAUUUUUACUUGUUACUGUCUGUCUUUCUUACUAAAAUAUAAACUCCAUGGAGGCGGGGAACAUAUCUGUCUCUGUCAUUGUUGUAUCCCUAGCUUCUGACAGAUGCUAGGUGUUUAAGAAAUAUUAGGCCGGGAGCAGUGGUUCAUGCCUGUAAUUCCAGCACUUUGGGAGGCCGAGGUGGAUGGAUCACCUGAA
rnacentral:lncRNA from 10 species